AUUUAAAUAGUUUAAUUUAAAAUUUUGAUUUGUGGAGUCAAGGAUAUAUUUAUAAUAUUUUAGAUA
rnacentral:tRNA from 1 species